GGGGGUAUAGCUCAGUGGUAGAGCAUUUGACUGCAGAUCAAGAGGUCCAUAGUUAAAAUCUCGGUACCCCCU